rnacentral:misc_RNA from 1 species
AGUCUCGCAGUCGUUGACCGCAUUUCCGGUUGCCGUUAGCUCGAAGUGCUUGUCAAAUUGGGUGGUUCAUUCUUUAAAGAGGUGUUCUGCCUGUACUAUUAUGGGAAAUAAAAAUAGUAGCAAGCUAAAGCCAGAAGACUUGGAAGAUUUAAGACGGCAUACGGAAUUUUCAGAUGAAGAAAUAAAGGAAUGGUAUAAGGGCUUUUUAAAGGAUUGUCCCAGUGGAACAUUAACUGUUAGCGAGUUUAAAAAAAUCUAUGGGAACUUUUUUCCAUAUGGGGAUGCAUCAAAAUUUGCUGAACAUGUCUUUCGAACGUUUGAUACUAACGGAGACGGUACAAUAGACUUCCGUGAAUUUAUAUGCGCUCUGAGUAUCACUUCUAGAGGAAAGCUGGAUGAAAAAUUACGAUGGGCUUUUAACAUGUAUGAUCUGGACGGUAAUGGAUAUAUUUCUCGGCAGGAAAUGCUUGAAAUCGUAACGGCUAUAUACAAAAUGGUCGGAUCGGUAAUGAAAAUGCCCGAAGAUGAGAGUACUCCAGAAAAGAGAACGGAUAAAAUAUUCCGUCAAAUGGAUAAGAAUGAAGACGGAAAACUCUCCCUCGAAGAAUUCAUUGAAGGCGCUAAAAGUGACCCAUCAAUUGUUCGACUGCUACAAUGCGAUCCUGGUUCGGUAGGCGGAACUGCUGCUUAAAGACGCCUUCGAACUGGCGUAUUCAGUAUUCGAAUAAUUUAAAGAAUUUUUUACUUGAACUUUUUUAUUUCUUCUCCUUUCGCCGUAGACGAAAUCAAGAUAAACUGUAAGGAUGUGCUAAUGAUUGUGUAGUUUGAGCAACAGAUCCAUGGUCAUAAACACGUAGUUGCCAAUGAUAAUUAGCAACCUACCUUCUAUUGCAGUUCUCAGCCGCCGAAGUACAUUCCGAUAGUUCUUGUAAAUAAUUUUCCUCUUUUAUUAUUUACCCAUUCAAAUAUAUUUACUACUUUUGUCAAUCUAUUUAAAAACAAGACCCAUAUGACAGGUUUAAAUCUUUCUUCAUGUCGUACAUUUUCAGAAUUGGCACAUCGUUAAGAGGUUCAGAUCAAAAUUUGAAUAACAAAUUGAAUUUACAAUUACUAUACUUUAAACUAAUAAAUUUUCAUCUUAUUCGGAAUCGGUAAUAGGAACGUUGGUAUUCUUUGUCUAUUUAAAAAAUAUUCUGCUGCAAAAGUUAGACCUGCAACAGAAUAUUUGAAGUGUUUUUUAAUGAAUUUUUCUAUUCAAAUCUAAUUUAUAUUAUAACUUGUGAGUCUAAAAAUAUAGCAAACCUUAAAGUGAUGAAUGACUAAUAUCUUCAGUUAAAAUAAAGAAAUUACAUAUUAAAAGUAGUUGUUAAUGUCUUUAUUACAUUGUGUCUCCCUGUCCAACUGUCUCCACUACAAAUGCAUCAGGAACAAUUAAUUGUGUAAGGGUACAGCAAAUUUGCGAAAUUGGAGAUUGUAAGGUAUUUUUAAACGAAAAGUUUGAUUAAGGAAAUUCAAAUAUUUGCACCGGUUAGUUUUCAAUUCGUAAAGCAUAACUCUCGGAGAAAGACAUCAGUAACUUACGAUAAAGUGUAAUACAAAUAAUUAAAAGAAGCAGCAAACAGCGUGACUGAUUCUGAUUGGCUCCUUAAAAAUGAUUUCUUUUACGAGUUUGCGCGAAAGAGAACUAAAAUUCUUUUACAUGUAUACUAUAUGAUGCAAAAAGGUAUCAGAAUUUACAGCCAAUCGCAAUCAAGCAAUUUCCGCCUUCAAUUCAAAAGCAAUUUAGUGCUCUUAAAGUACAGUGUUUGUUAAGUAUGAAACUGGACGUAUUACAAAAACAAAAGUCUUUUACAAUAGACGCCAUAAUCGGAAAAGAUAAUGAAACUGUUGAAAAAAGAAACGAGCCUGUUUCGUCUGCCUCAGCUCAAACAGCCUCCCCAGUGUUUCCAUCAUACUAUUCAGCGAAUCUUAGAAGAAGUCUGGCUGUUAAUAGUAUAGAAAUAAUGAGAACAUUAUCAAGCGACCGAAAUCUUUUUUCUGGCUCAUGGCUCAUACCUCCAACAACUUACCCACUCUCGCAGUUUGCUCUUGGUAAUAUUCAACAAAAAUUAGCAGUGCAAGAUUUGAAUUUUUUGCAACCUUACCGAAAACCGAAAAGAAUACGAACAGCAUUUAGUCCGUCUCAACUACUGCAAUUGGAACAUGCCUUCGAAAAAAACCACUAUGUCGUGGGACAAGAAAGAAAGCAGCUGGCGUCCAAUCUAUGUUUAACCGAAACUCAGGUACAAUUAUAAAAAAGAAAUGUUAAAGUUUGGUUUCAAAAUCGGCGAACGAAAUACAAACGCACGAAAGAAGACAUACUUUGUGAUGCUAAAACUGUGGACAACGAUAUGUGCGAGUCAGAUUAGCGUUACUUUUUAUUUUGUUUUUGCAAUGUAUAUAUUAAUACAUAAAAGAGAAAUUUUAAAAAUAAACCAAAAAGUAAUUAGGAUUGAU